CAGCAGCCGCGGUAAUACGUAGGGCGCGAGCGUUAAUCGGAAUUACUGGGCGUAAAGCGCGCGCAGGCGGUUAUGUAAGGCAGAUGUGAAAUCCCCGGGCUCAACUGGGAAACUGCAUUUGUGACUGCAUAGCUAGAGUACGGCAGAGGGGGAUGGAAUUCCGGGUGUAGCAGUGAAAUGCGUAGAUAUGCGGAGGAACACCGAAGGCGAAGGCAAUCCCCUGGGCCUGUACUGACGCUGAUGCACGAAAGCGUGGGGAGCAAACAGGAUUAGAUACCCUGGUAGUCCAGGCCGUAAACGAUGUCAACUGGAUGUUGGG
rnacentral:rRNA from 1 species